UAUUAUUUUAUUUUACCUUGACCAGAAUACUGUUGAAAUGACACAACGUUGAAAUCGCGGUAAAAUACAGCUCAGUCAUACUCAUUACUCUCCGUCAAAACAACCGAAAAUGGCCAGCAGGAAACACAAUUAACUUUGUAACUCUUUUUCACUAGUUUUAGAAAUCUCUGAUCUCUUAAUUACAGGGGUAAUACCAAAGAUUCUCUAUUCUAAUUAGCAUCGUCUCUGAUAAUUCCAAGGAGGAUAAUUCAAAUAUUCCAGGAAGUGGUUAAUCGACCGGAUGUUGUUUUGUGAUCAGUGUUUCCAGGGGACGUUCUUUGAGGGGACACAUUAAACUUUGAGGAAGUAGUGUCUUGUUCAGUGUUCACGGUUUAUAUUGCUGAAGGACAAUUACAAGUCUAAACGGAGAAGAGUCGUCAUUUCAAGGUGUUUUCGCGGACGUAUUGGCAUGUGGAUGUUGACAGUGUCGGAAGUAUUAAUCAAAGUUGACACGAGAAGUUGGAGCGAUGCGAGAAGAGCAUGCGAUGAGCUGCCUGCCUGCUGCUGUCUACUGCCUACUCCUGCUGCUGCCGCUGCUGCUGUUGCAUCCAAUGUUGGGUAGCCAGCCACCCAUGCAUGUUGACACAGCCAGCAGCGGGCACCCAUGGCACAUGGGGAUGGACCCAGGAGUGGAGGAUGACCCAAUAGGAUGAACGUUCAGCCCACUCACUGUUGACACCAGUGACACAGUAUUGACCAGAUCUCCUGGAAGUGCCCCCUGAUCAGGCACGUGCACUCCAAUACGGCAGGGGAGGCUGUGCCUCACCUGUCUCUUCUAGACUUCAUGAGAAUGAUGAGAUGCAGUAAAUGUGAAUAAUAGUAACAAUAAUAACUACUGUUUUCGAGCAUAUUUACCAUAACUACCAUUUUUGCAGUAUUUAAACAGUUUCAAUCAUUUUCAAUCAUUUUUGUGGCCAAAACCGCACUAUUUUCCCACCUCCUGCUCCGAAUACACUGAAUUUGGGCCAACUCCUGAGUUGGCCUCACCGCAGAUUGCGCAAUCCCUCAGUAACAAGCUUCAGCGCAUGCGCCAUUUUGCUCGUUCUGUGUAUGCAAUUCGUAAUAUUGUAUUAAACGUUUUUAUACACUUAA